rnacentral:rRNA from 1 species
UACGGAGGGUGCAAGCGUUAUCCGGAUUCACUGGGUUUAAAGGGUGCGUAGGUGGGUUGGUAAGUCAGUGGUGAAAUCUCCGAGCUUAACUUGGAAACUGCCAUUGAUACUAUCAGUCUUGAAUACCGUGGAGGUCAGCGGAAUAUGUCAUGUAGCGGUGAAAUGCUUAGAUAUGACAUAGAACACCCAUUGCGAAGGCAGCUGACUACGCGGAGAUUGACACUGAGGCACGAAAGCGUGGGGAUCAAACAGG